rnacentral:lncRNA from 1 species
GCAUCUGUUAGGAAGCCCCUGCACUCAGCUCCUCUCUGCCUCACCACAAGGUCUUUCUGAGGGGUAGCAGGACAGUUCUCUGUAGCGUUGGCUAGAUUCACCACAGGGAGUGUGUGUAGUGUGGCAAGUCAUUUAGAGAGUGUGGAAGGUCACAGAGGAGAAAGGGAACCGACGACUGAAUCUCUUGUCCUACAAAGGCUUCCUGCAGUUUAAUGGGAGCUGUGGAAGUCUCCGUAGCAGUGGGGGCGCAGGUCUGGCACACUAAGACAACUGUGGA